rnacentral:rRNA from 1 species
UACGUAGGGGGCAAGCGUUAUCCGGAAUUACUGGGCGUAAAGCGCACGCAGGCGGUUCGCCAAGUUUGGAGUGACAGUUGUCGGCUCAACCGACAAAGGACUUCAAAAACUGGUGAACUUGAGGACGAGAGAGGAACAUGGAACGUCCAGGUGUAGUAGUGAAAUGCGUAGAUAUCUGGAAGAACACCAAUGGCGAAGGCAAUGUUCUGGCUCGUUUCUGACGCUCAGGUGCGAAAGCCAGGGGAGCGAACGGG